AGAUAAAAUCAGUCUGGAUUACAGUCAGUGAAUGGGCCAGCUGCUUUGUUACUUAUUUUCUAGAAUAAAGAGGUUAGGCUGCUCGGUAGUAAUAGUCACUGGAAACUCUCCUACUCGUGAGGAUCGUUAAUGAAAAGGUGACUGAGACACAGUGCUAGUAAUUUCUGAAACUGAUGUUAUGCCUCCAGAAGCUUUAAACCAAAUGCCAAGGAUGUUCAAGGAGGCUGCACAGAGCGAUCAUCUGCUCCCUGGUUAUUUCCUCAACUGUGAGAUUUUUCUCUGAUUGCAGUGCUUCUGAUAGCUUUUCAGUUGCAAGUUUCAGCAGGAGAUUUUCAAAUUGAAACACGAGGUUGUUUCAGAGCUGUUGAUAACGUUUUGGGUUGUUGGAGUGGCUGGAUUUUUCCUGGAAUUGAGUGUGAAAUUCAGAAGACUGAAGCCCAGGCUUACUGUCUACCUUUCACGGAGGCCAAGCCUUGAGAGGACAGAGGAAGGAAUGUGGCGAAUCGUGAUGGCAGAGAGAGAGAAGGGAUAAGUGAGAGAAUGAGCAUUCCAGGCCACAUAUAUAGAAAGUGACCACAUUGUAGAUGAAGAAAACGACAAGGACAGUGCUACUAAUGAGGCUGCAGGGAAGAAGUCAAAAAUAAAGAAACCACCGAAAAAGAAAUCGCGUUAUGAGAGAGCAGAGACCAGUGACCUAACUUCAUUUUUGACAGAGGACGAUGUUAUCUACAGGCUUGGAAGCAAGUAAUAUUUCAUUGUUUUUCUGGAUGAUGUUAAAAAGACAGUUAUGGAUGUCAACAUGGCAAGGAAACAGCUUUAUCAAGGGGUUCAGAUGACAUCAUGAACUGCAAGUAUAAUUUAAGCCAUGUUUAACGGUCGUUUAAACUCCAAUUUCUGGUUAUGGCCUUGAAAAUAAUUUUUUGUAGCUCUUUGUCCCUCUCAUUAUCCCUUCAGUAAUAAGGUAU